AGAGCUCGUAGGCGGUUUGUCGCGUCUGCUGUGAAUCCCGAGGCUCAACCUCGGGCUUGCAGUGGGUACGGGCAGACUAGAGUGCGGUAGGGGAGAUUGGAAUUCCUGGUGUAGCGGUGGAAUGCGCAGAUAUCAGGAGGAACACCGAUGGCGAAGGCAGAUCUCUGGGCCGUAACUGACGCUGAGGAGCGAAAGCAUGGGGAGCGAACAGGAUUAGAUACCCUGGUAGUCCAUGCCGUAAACGUUGGGCGCUAGAUGUAGGGACCUUUCCAC
rnacentral:rRNA from 1 species